GUGGGGGGACUGCGGCUGCGGCCUCUGCGGAGGCGGGACGGGGCGGCACAACGCCCACAGGCGUGUUCGUGGCGGCGCGGGCGACUCCGCCCGGGCCGUCCCCGGGGCUGCUGCUGGCAGAAGUGCUUUGGUGUGGAGAGCUGUGUGCGGCCGUAGGCAGACGCCCGCUCUGCUCUCGGCAGCCCUCGGGCCCGGGAGGGCCGUACCCCGGCUUUCUUUCCUGCGUUCUCCGGGUUGGUCUUUUUUCCUUCCUGGUAGGCGCCCAGGUCCCGCCACCGGGGCAGCAACCAAAAGCCGCGUUGCUGCUUUGCCUCAUGCCUCUCGUACGCCUUGGUCAGCCGCUGUGCCGCUCGUAGCUGGACCCCUUCGCCGGGGGGUCGUCCUGAUGCUGAGGCCAGGGACUACUUUGGCGUCAGAAGUGUGCUUGUGAGAGCAAACUGACACCACAUUACAUCAGAAAAGCAGCGGGGAGAGAGACACCAAACAUUUAAAACUAGCAAAGCUGUCUUUUUUUUUUUAAAGUAAAAACAUGCGAAUUGUGAGAUUUCGAAGUUGCCAGUAUUGAACUGGAAGUAAUGGCCGGCGCUAUUCAUCGCAGGAGCCAGGGCCGAGCAGGGAGGUGGCGGUAGGGAAGGCAGCUCUGACUUGCCGUGGGCUUCAGCGCUUCCCUGACACCCGCUCCGUGUCGGACUCACGAGCUCCGCUGCGGGGCCGGGCUCCUUUCCGAGGCCCGCGUUCGCUCAGUGCGGAACAGGGUACGUCUUUGCAGGCGCCGCCGCCUGAAAUAGCUGAAGCCAACUUUGUCAUUAACGUAAAUUUCAGGAGUCCUGGGCGGGUUCUUAAACAGGCAGACACAACAUUGUCUUUGUGUAUCUUGGUUCCCUUGCUGUCAAUUUAGAAAAGGCAAACCCCGUAAUCAAACGAACGCGUUUUGAAAAGUAUUCCUUCGUGAAACACUGCUGGCAGCUGAUGAGGAAAUACACUUGAUAUUUCAUGCUUUUCAGCGAAGUCUUGAACCACAACUUGAAAUAAAGGGAUUAAAAUAAACGCUAAAUGUUCACUGAACUGUGCAAGGAGACAAAGACUAUGUCUGCCUAAUUAGAGAAUGUUUACAAAGACUUUUUAAUUCUUGUUUAAAAAAUACUCUAAAAUUCAUUAGGAGCCUGGGGCAGUGGGCUUUAGGUGCCAGAAGCGUUUGCUGCGGGGGGUCUCUGGCGCGGAUCAGCCGGCAGAGGGAGAUGGGAUGCGCCUGUCCUGGAGCCUCGGACACUCGCUGAUGGCUGAGAACGUUUCAAUCUCUAUUAUUUUGAAGAAAUCCACAUCUGUCUUGCUGACAGUGUAGGGGGAAGUUAUUCACCACUGUAUUGGCAUCAGAGGAUACCCUCAGCAGGAUGAUGAGGCAGGAAGCAAGUUACAUCUUGGAGAAAUUGCCCUCAGGAGAGAGGAAAAACUAUUGCAAGGUUGACAGCACAACCUUGUACCGGCACAGUUUCCCUUCCCCAGUGGUUCAAGGAGUUCCAAGCACCCUCCUGUAAAUCAUCAGCUCACAUCUAUUUAUUAUCUUCCAGCCCAGUGCACAACACUAUCUGUUACACACGGAUACCAGCAAUAUUGCAAGGUGGACUCAAGGGAUAAAAGACAGCAAACCCUGCACACCUCCUAUGCCUGAGUCACACCCACUAUAAAGUCAGGCUCUGUUCAUAAAGCGCGUGCUGUUGUCAGAAAUGAAACAAUAUGAACUGUUGUGGUUCAGAGUUGGGUUUUUUUAGUGUUUCUCCAAUAUGCUUGAUCUUAUCAUCUUGAUAUCUUCAUGUUAUUAUACAGAGACAGAAUUUAUCUGCAUAGUAAUGGACAAAAUGUCUAUGAAAAUAUUGCUAUUCAUUCAAUGAUUGUUAUAUUUGGAGUAGGUGCCAGCCUCACUCUGUGAUGCUUGUCCUGGAAUAUCAAUAAAUAAAUCAUAAAAGCCAAUGCUUCAA